UUGUUAUCAGCCACACCCUGCUUUGUUUGGAAAUGCAACUUUUCUGUGACGUGUAGGGGAGCGCGGGGCACAAAGUAACGCGGGGUAAAAAGUAACACAGACAUUUUAGAUAGUUGCAAAGGGUUAACUAUGAUGUACUUCCGGGCUUUUCACCACACUGUCGGCAGACAUCUUCCCGCCAUCUUUCGAGAAAGUUCGUCACAUAUUGGAUGAGAACGGAGGAGAAACUCUUUCGUCAGCAUUCAGGCCCUUUCCCAAGGCACCUCCAAGAAAAGAAGUUGCCAAGCCCAGAAAGAAGAUAAUAAGUGCCAUCCUCACAGACACUCCAGCCGUUGCAGAGGAAGAGGUUCGAAAGAGUAAAAAGACAGCCCCCAAGAACAGAAGCCUUGGUGUGAAAAAGCGAAGUAAAUCAAGUAAUUCAGUCGACUGCCUUGUGUGCGGGGAGGAAUUUACAUCCUCUGCACCUGGAGAGAAAUGGGUUAAAUGUGUCUUUUGUGAUGGGUGGUCACAUGAGUUAUGCACAGAGGGAAAUGAACAUUAUGUUUGUCACGUCUGUGAUGAAGAGUAAGUUGUAUUAAAGGGAUAGUUCACUCAAAAAUGAAAAGGAGCCAAUGAUUUACUCACCCUGAAGCCAUCCUAGGUGUAUGACAUUCUUCUUUCAGACUAAUACAAUUCAGGUUGUAUUUAAAAAAUGUCCUGGCUCUUUCAAGCUUUAUAAUGAGAGUUAAUGAGUACAUUUUUUUGGAAGUCCAUCAGAGCACAUUCAUCUGUGAUGGAAAAUAUACCCAUUCACUCCCAUUAUAAAGCUUGGAAGAGCCAGGACAUUUUUUAAUAUAACUCAGAUUAUAUUCGUCUGAAAGAAGAAUGUCAUAUACACCUAGGAUGACUAAAGGGUGAGUUAAUCAUGGGGAAAUUUUCAUUUUUGGGUGAACCAUCCCUUUAAUGAGUAAAGUUUCUAGGCUACACGUCGUACAGUGGUAUGUUGAAAAUGUUUCCACUUACUAUGUCAUGAAUAUUUGUUAGAUUUAUCAUUUAUUAGUACUGAUACAAAAUAAUCAGUUAUUCAAUUCAUUCAAAAUAUCAAUGUUAUACAGAAA